rnacentral:rRNA from 1 species
CCUACGGGAGGCAGCAGUGGGGAAUAUUGCGCAAUGGGCGAAAGCCUGACGCAGCGACGCCGCGUGAGGGAUGAAGGUCUUCGGAUCGUAAACCUCUGUCAGCAGGGAAGAACGGUCACUUUGCUAAUCAGCAGUGCAUUGACGGUACCUGCAAAGGCAGCACCGGCUAACUCCGUGCCAGCAGCCGCGGUAAUACGGAGGGUGCGAGCGUUAAUCGGAAUUACUGGGCGUAAAGCGCUCGUAGGCGGUAUGUCAAGUCAAGGGUGAAAUCCCCGCGCUCAACGUGGGAACUGCCUUUGAAACUGGCAAACUGGAGUGUGUGAGAGGAUAGUGGAAUUCCAGGUGGAGGAGUGAAAUCCGUAGAUAUCUGGAGGAACAUCAGUGGCGAAGGCGACUAUCUGGCACAUAACUGACGCUGAGGAGCGAAAGCGUGGGUAGCAAACAGGAUUAGAUACCCUUGUAGUC